AUACGUAGGGGGCAAGCGUUAUCCGGAUUUACUGGGUGUAAAGGGAGCGUAGACGGUUUGGCAAGUCUGAUGUGAAAGCCCGGGGCUCAACCGCGGGACUGCAUUGGAAACUGUCAGACUUGAGUGCAGGAGAGGUAAGUGGAAUUCCUAGUGUAGCGGUGAAAUGCGUAGUUAUUAGGAGGAACACCGGUGGCGAAGGCGGCUUAUUGGACUGAAACUGACGUUGAGGCUGGAAAGCGUGGGGAGCAAAUUGGAUGAGAUCCCCUGGUAGUAUACGCCGUAAACGAUGAAUUCUAGGUGUUGGGAGACAAUAGUUUCUCGGUGCCGCAGCAAACGCAAUAAGUAUUCCACCUGGGGAGUACGUUCGCAAGAAUGAAACUCAAAUUAAUUGACGGGG
rnacentral:rRNA from 1 species